UACAGAGGUCUCAAGCGUUGUUCGGAUUCAUUGGGCGUAAAGAGCUCGUAGGCGGUCUGUUGCGUCCGCUGUGAAAACUCGGGGCUUAACCCCGAGCCUGCAGUGGAUACGGGCAGACUAGAGGUAGGUAGGGGAGAAUGGAAUUCCCGGUGUAGCGGUGAAAUGCGCAGAUAUCAGGAGGAACACCGAUGGCGAAGGCAGGUCUCUGGGCCACUACUGACGCUGAGAAGCGAAAGCAUGGGGAGCGAACAGG
rnacentral:rRNA from 1 species